AUUGAACGCUGGCGGCAGGCCUAACACAUGCAAGUCGAGCGGAUGAAGGGAGCUUGCUCCUGGAUUCAGCGGCGGACGGGUGAGUAAUGCCUAGGAAUCUGCCUGGUAGUGGGGGAUAACGUCCGGAAACGGGCGCUAAUACCGCAUACGUCCUGAGGGAGAAAGUGGGGGAUCUUCGGACCUCACGCUAUCAGAUGAGCCUAGGUCGGAUUAGCUAGUUGGUGGGGUAAAGGCCUACCAAGGCGACGAUCCGUAACUGGUCUGAGAGGAUGAUCAGUCACACUGGAACUGAGACACGGUCCAGACUCAUACGGGAGGCAGCAGUGGGGAAUAUUGGACAAUGGGCGAAAGCCUGAUCCAGCCAUGCCGCGUGUGUGAAGAAGGUCUUCGGAUUGUAAAGCACUUUAAGUUGGGAGGAAGGGCAGUAAGUUAAUACCUUGCUGUUUGGACGUUACCAACAGAAUAAGCACCGGCUAACUUCGU
rnacentral:rRNA from 1 species